AAAUUAGAGAGAAAUCGUUGCUCAUAAGCAUGUUUGUUAACCCAUAACCCAUAGUUUGUCAAUCAAAAUUUGUUUAUUGUUUUGACAGAUGCAACAAUGUGGCAACGUCAAAACUGCAUCUUCGCUGACAGCGGCUACAACAAAAGGAAAGUAAACCACUUGCUGUUUGUGGAGCGAAUACACUUUUUGUCUUUUACUAUAAAUAAUUCGCGGAAAAAUUGUGCGUGUUAAGUGCAAAAAUCACAAUGCAGCUGCAAAUAAAAGCAGUUGUUCUAGUUAUGCUGCUGCAAUGUUCUAAAUGCGUUGUCAGUGAGCGCACCCGGGACAAAAUGUAUGAAGCAAUCAAUGGCGCCAGUUGUUUUAGAAGACUCAAUGGCACCCAUCAGACAGGUUGUUCAUCUACACAUUCUGGUUCCGUCGGAGUAUUACAUCUUGUUCAACGUGAAGAAGAUUUCGAUUUUUUAUUAACAAAUCCACCUUCACCGCCAUAUGCGCCCAUAAUUCCACCAGAACUUUUUACACAACGAAAUAUGUUGCGCCUGCAGAAGGAAGGAGGCAAGAAUAUUUCUGUUGUACUGCUAAUAAAUCACACACAAAAGAUGUUGCAGUUUUCGCACGAGCUCAAUUGUCCUAAUCAGUAUAGUGGCAUAAUGUUUCCAAAUAGUUCAGUAACACCCACGUGCGAUGCUGCACCUGAGCUGUCGUGGAAUCCAUGGGGCACAGGCUUAUUGCAUGAAGAUUUCCCAUUUCCUAUUUUUUACUUAGCCGACAUAGACGAAAUUACUAAAAUCGUAAAUUGUUUCGAAAAAUUCAAUAACUUUAAUUAUGAAGGACACUCCAAACGCAGUUUAUGUGCUGUAGAAGUGAAAACUUUUAUGACAGCCGCUGUCAGUUCGGAGGUGUGUAUGCGUCGGUCCAAUUUUAUAAACACUAUGGGCAGCAUAAAAUAUUGUGAUCCAUUGGAAGGUAGAAAUGUUUAUGCCACCCUUUUCCCCAGAGUUAUGUCAGCUGAAAAUGAAGUAGUUGCCGAGCGAAAAGUUAAUACAAGUGAAAAGUUCAUAUUAGUCAGCUGUCGGUUGGACACAACAUCAAUGUUCGAUGGUGUUGGUUUGGGUGCAUUAGAUUCAUUAACUGGUUAUGCUACUCUAAUAAAUGUGGCGCAUAUGCUGGCGCAGUUAUUGCCAAAUAAUUCAGAAGUUUUAAAUAAAACACUGAAUGUACUUUUCGUUGUAUUUAAUGGAGAAUCGUAUGAUUAUAUUGGCUCACAGCGUUUUGUUUACGAUUUAGAAAAUAUGGCAUUUCCUACACGCUCCACUCAAACGACGCCUAUUGGUCUGGAAAAUAUUGAAUAUGUUUUAGACAUUGGCACAUUAGAUGACAUAACAAAAAUAAGAUUACAUAGUCUAGAUGAAUUUUCACAAGCGUCACAGUUAUUGGCAAAGUUUCAACAUUAUGGCCUAUCGCCUAUUUUAAAAUUUAACAUUAGUUUUAUGAAUAACGUGGGAAUGCGAAUGCCACCUACCUCAGCGCAAUCGUUUCUACGUAAAAACAUAAAAUUUCCCGCUUUCGUACUUAAUGCAAGACCACAAAACAGAUACUAUCAUUCCAUUUAUGAUGACAUGGAUAAUAUGAAUUUUACAUACGGUAAUACAACAUUGAAUUUCACCGGUUUAAAGGAUGUGGCUGAACAUUUUGUUUUUGCUCCUGAUUCCAUACAAAUGAAAAUACGCAAUAUAUCAACUGUUAUCGCGUUAUCCUUGUACGAAACUCUAACAGGUGUCUCGUAUAAAAAAACUGAAGUUGCUAAUCCUUUAUUAACGGAUGAAUUCCUUUAUUGUUUUUUGCAAUCUGCUGAUUGCCCACUUUUCAAAGCUGCUUCACAUCCUAACAGUUUACCUGGUCUACCGAUACCACCAUCAAGAUACGUGAGCGUUGGAGGUGGUUCACAAGAAUCUUCUGGCUGGACUAAUCGCGUUCUAGGUUAUUUGUUAUCACACCAAACUAAUAUUGCUAAAGCAAAUUGCUCUAAUCUGCCAUUACAUUGGUUUGCCGGUUAUCGGAGCAAAGGCGAAUGUAGAGUUACUACACAAAAUUACAGUUAUGCACUUAGUCCUGCAUUUCUUAUUGAUAAUUAUGACUGGAAAUCAGGUCAAUAUUCUACAUGGACUGAAUCCACUUGGACGCAGUUUAGUGCGCGCAUAUUUCUCAGACCGUCCAACAUACAUGAAAUCAUUACACUAAGCAUUGGCGUGGUUGUGUUAAUAAUAUCCUUCUGCUUAGUUUACAUUAUAAGUAGUCGCGCAGAUAUUUUAUUCGAAGACGCGCCAAGUAGCACAGCCGCGUAAGUACACGUUUUGUUGUGAUGUUCGCAUGGUGUACGUUUAUUGGAUUGCAUUGUGUUAAUAGUAAUUUUGGGUUUUUAGCUUAAUUUAAACUGAAUGUGCAUGUAAAUUAAAGAAAAUAUUUUUAUUUACUUCAACUAAGAUGCAUUUACUUAUAUACUCAUACUAAUCUAACACUAGUUAGCGGAACCAACUGCUUGUUAGAAUAUUUAAAAACACCUUAUGAAAAAUGUCAUUUUCUUUCGUACAUACAUAAUUGAUUACAGGCUUCUGGAUGCAUAGGCUAUUUUUUACAUUGUUAAGACUGCCUACAAAAACUGUUAAAACAAUAAAUAUAACCAAUGCAAAUAAGAAAUUUAUAUAAAUA